rnacentral:rRNA from 1 species
GUAAACCAUAGCGAGCAAACCGUGGCGGUGUCGCAAGGCGUCGUCGCGGUUAAUAAGGAUAACCCUGGUAAUUCUGAGGCUAAUACAAGAACGUACAACCCGCCCGACCCGCAAGGGAAGGGGGGGGAAUGUGUGACCAGGCACGCAAAUUCGAAACUGGGAGUGGCCACACGUUCAGACCGUCAUAUCAAACAGUUGCCUGCUUCGAAAGUCCUCGUGACGAGUAACGGCGGGUUUCUGGGCGGCUCUCGCUGUGUGCUUCUGACCUAUCAACUAGAUGGCAGCGUAACGGACAUGCUAUGGU